rnacentral:rRNA from 1 species
UAAACCGGAGGAAGUGGGGAGUGACGCAAAUCAUCAUGCCCCUUAUGACCUGGGCUACACACGUGCUACAAUGGUUGGUACAACGAGUUGCGAGUCGGUGACGGCGAGCUAAUCUCUUAAAGCCAAUCUCAGUUCGGAUUGUAGGCUGCAACUCGCCUACAUGAAGUCGGAAUCGCUAGUAAUCGCGGAUCAGCACGCCGCGGUGAAUACGUUCCCGGGCCUU